GCAUCUAGAUUAGAGUUUGAUCCUGGCUCAGGAUGAACGCUAGCGGCAGGCUUAACACAUGCAAGUCGCGGGGCAGCGCGCUGUAGCAAUACGGUGGCGGCGACCGGCGGAAGGGUGCGUAACACGUGAGCAACCUGCCCGUGACAGGGGGAUAACCGGUGGAAACGCCGCCUAAUACCCCGUAACAACGUUUCCCGCAUGGGGGUCGUUUGAAAGCUCCGGCAGUCACGGAUGGGCUCGCGCAGCAUUAGCUAGUCGGCGGGGUAACGGCCCACCGAGGCGACGAUGCUUAGGGGUUCUGAGAGGAAGAUCCCCCACACUGGGACUGAGACACGGCCCAGACUCCUACGGGAGGCAGCAGUGAGGAAUAUUGGACAAUGGGGGCAACCCUGAUCCAGCCAUGCCGCGUGAAGGACUGAGGCCCUACGGGUCGUAAACUUCUUUUGUUGCGGAGCAAUAAGGUCACGCGUGGCCCGAUGAGAGUACGCAGCGAAUAAGCAUCGGCUAACUCCGUGCCAGCAGCCGCGGUAUACGAGAUGCGAGCGUUAUCCGGAUUUAUUGGGUUUAAAGGGUGCGUAGCGGCCUGUCAGUCAGCGGUGAAAUCCCC
rnacentral:rRNA from 1 species